GUGGGUUUAGCACAGCGGUAGUUGCGAAAGAUUGCAACCACCUCGGUCCAUCCGAGGACAGUUGGUAAUCAUCUUUAGGUCCCCGGUUCGAUCCCGGGAACUCACU